AUUGCCUAGUACGGCGAGUGAAGCGGCAACAGCUCAAAUUUGAAAGCUGGCCUUCGGGUCCGCAUUGUAAUUUGUAGAGGAUGCUUUGGGUGAAACGCCAGUCUAAGUUCCUUGGAACAGGACGUCAUAGAGGGUGAGAAUCCCGUAUGUGACUGGAAAUGUUAACCUAUGUAAAGCUCCUUCGACGAGUCGAGUUGUUUGGGAAUGCAGCUCUAAAUGGGAGGUAAAUUUCUUCUAAAGCUAAAUAUUGGCGAGAGACCGAUAGCGCACAAGUAGAGUGAUCGAAAGAUGAAAAGCACUUUGGAAAGAGAGUUAAAAAGCACGUGAAAUUGUUGAAAGGGAAGCGCUUGCAAUCAGACUUGUUUAAACUGUUCGGCCGGUCUUCUGACCGGUUUACUCAGUUUGGACAGGCCAGCAUCAGUUUCGGCGGCCGGAUAAAGGCUCUGGGAAUGUGGCCUUCACUUCGGUGAAGGUGUUAUAGCCCAGGGUGUAAUACGGCCAGCCGGGACUGAGGUCCGCGCUUCGGCUAGGAUGCUGGCGUAAUGGUUGUAAGCGACCCGUCUUGAAACCACGGACCAAAGAUGAACC
rnacentral:rRNA from 1 species